GAUGAACGCUGGCGGCGUGCCUAAUACAUGCAAGUCGAGCGAACAGACGAGGAGCUUGCUCCUCUGACGUUAGCGGCGGACGGGUGAGUAACACGUGGAUAACCUACCUAUAAGACUGGGAUAACUUCGGGAAACCGGAGCUAAUACCGGAUAAUAUAUUGAACCGCAUGGUUCAAUAGUGAAAGACGGUUUUGCUGUCACUUAUCGAUGGAUCCGCGCCGCAUUAGCUAGUUGGUAAGGUAACGGCUUACCAAGGCAACGAUGCGUAGCCGACCUGAGAGGGUGAUCGGCCACACUGGAACUGAGACACGGUCCAGACUCCUAAGGGAGGCAGCAGAAGGGAAUCUUCCGCAAUGGGCGAAAGCCUGACGGAGCAACGGCGCGUGAGUGAUGAAGGUCUUCGGAUCGUAAAACUCUGUUAUUAGGGAAGAACAAAUGUGUAAGUAACUAUGCACGUAUUGACGGUACCUAAUCAGAAAGCAACGGCUAACUACGUG
rnacentral:rRNA from 1 species